rnacentral:rRNA from 1 species
AUUAACGCUGGCAGAGUGCAUAACGCAUGCAAGUCGAGCGAGGUGGCGGAAUAUUGCGCCGAGCGGCAGACGAGUGAGUAAAACGUAAAUAACCUGCCCCCGAAAGGCGAACAACCAGCCGAAAGGUUGGCUAAUACGCCGUAUUAUCCCGCAAAGGCAUCUUCGUGGGAUGAGAGCCGUAAGGCGUUCGGGGAGGGGUUUGCGACCCAUCAGCUAGUUGGCGGUGUAAUAGACCACCAAGGCUAUGACGGGUACCCGGCCUGAAAGGGCGGACGGGCACGAAGGCACUGAGACACGGGCCUUACUCCUAUGGGAGGCAGCAGUGGGGAAUUUUGGACAAUGGGCGAAAGCCUGAUCCAGCAACUCUGCGUGAGGGAUGAAGCCCUUCGGGGCGUAAACCUCUUUUAUCUGGGACGAAUACCCGCAAGGGUUUGACGGUACCAGGUGAAUAAGCCACGGCUAACUAUGU